AGAAAAUCUGACCGAAGAGAAACUAAAAAGAAAAGAAAACUGUUUGUACCCUAGUAUCCAAAAUACAAAGGAACACUUGGACGAUAAUUGCCUACAUUACCAGAAAUGAUGAAAGACUUUCCAUUAAAAAGCAAUGAGGAAAGACCGUGCCUAACCCUAGGAAUAAGGAAAGAGACUGCAGGAAUAGCAUCAUGCUAUGUAGCAACCUGCCACCAACUCUGAAAUGGACAAUAAUGACAAAUGGACACAAGGGAUAAAACCCAAAACACACUGUGAAAUGUUAUCCCGGGCAGAUGCUUAGUAUAUAUUAUCUAGCACUGACAGUUACCCAAGUAUUGCCAUCUUCCCAGCCAUGGGCAUCAACUUCUGCUUUUAUUUGGUGAUUAUGAAAUUAAUCUGAUUCUCAGGCCAGCCCAGGAAGAAUUCUCUUUGUAGCAAAAUUCAUGGAGGAUUGGUCUAUCAGUUGCCAUUAGCCAUGAAAGCUAACUAGAACCUCCAUAUUCAGAGGCAGUAUAGCUUUGAGGACAACAGGGG